rnacentral:misc_RNA from 1 species
GAUGAAGAACGUAGCGAAAUGCGAUAAGUAAUGUGAAUUGCAGAAUUCAGUGAAUCAUCGAAUCUUUGAACGCACCUUGCGCUCCUUGGUAUUCCGAGGGGCAUGCCUGUUUGAGUGUCAUUAAUAUAUCAACCUUCUCUUUUUUGAGUUGUUUGGAUGUGGGGGUUUGCUGGCCUCUUAAAUGAUUCAGCUCCCCUGAAAUGCAUUAGCAGAACAACCUGUUCAUUGGCGUGAUAAUUAUCUAUGCUAUUGAAUGUGAGGGCAGUUCAGCUUUCUAACCGUCCUUGGACAAUUCAUCAUUAAUGUGACCUCAAAUCAGGUAGGACUACCCGCUGAACUUAAGCAUAUCAAUAAGCGGAGGA